CUCAGGAUGAACGCUAGCGGCAGGCUUAACACAUGCAAGUCGAGGGGUAUAWGUCUUCGGAGAUAGAGACCGGCGCACGGGUGCGUAACGCGUAUGCAAUCUACCUUUUACAGAGGGAUAGCCCAGAGAAAUUUGGAUUAAUACCUCAUAGUAUAACAUGACCGCAUGGUCGAGUUAUUAAAGUCACAACGGUAAAAGAUGAGCAUGCGUCCCAUUAGCUAGUUGGUAAGGUAACGGCUUACCAAGGCUACGAUGGGUAGGGGUCCUGAGAGGGAGAUCCCCCACACUGGUACUGAGACACGGACCAGACUCCUACGGGAGGCAGCAGUGAGGAAUAUUGGACAAUGGGCGCAAGCCUGAUCCAGCCAUGCCGCGUGCAGGAUGACGGUCCUAUGGAUUGUAAACUGCUUUUAUACGAGAAGAAACA
rnacentral:rRNA from 1 species